rnacentral:rRNA from 1 species
GAUGAACGCUGGCGGCGUGCCUAACACAUGCAAGUCGAACGGAGCACCCGAGAAUGAAGCUUCGGCCAAGUGAAUUUGAGUUUAGUGGCGGACGGGUGAGUAACGCGUGAGGAACCUGCCUUUCAGAGGGGGACAACAGUUGGAAACGACUGCUAAUACCGCAUAACGCAUAUUGAUCGCAUGGUCGAUAUGCCAAAGAUUUAUCGCUGAAAGAUGGCCUCGCGUCUGAUUAGCUAGUUGGUGAGGUAACGGCCCACCAAGGCGACGAUCAGUAGCCGGACUGAGAGGUUGACCGGCCACAUUGGGACUGAGAUACGGCCCAGACUCCUACGGGAGGCAGCAGUGGGGAAUAUUGGGCAAUGGGCGCAAGCCUGACCCAGCAACGCCGCGUGAAGGAAGAAAGGCUUUCGGUUGGUAAACUUCUUUGUCAGGGAAGAGUAGAAGACUGUACCUGGCGAAUAAGCCACGGCUAACUACGUGCCAGCAGCCG